rnacentral:ncRNA from 1 species
UUCUUCGGGGUCGGGUGCAAGUCCCAACCGGCGGUAUAGUCCGCGACCUGAUGUAUUAUGGCAUCAGCUGAUCUGGUGAGAUUCCAGAACCGACAGUAAAGUCUGGAUGAGAGAAGGA